rnacentral:lncRNA from 1 species
GAAGAAGCAAGAGCGGUUUAGAAUUCAUUCUGCUUUCAGCAGCAGUGUCAGAAGCCCGAACUUGACCCUCCUAUCAUUCCUGCUGCCUAAUUUCUCUUUGUUCCUGCCUGUUUUUUACGCCUUAUACUCUUGCCUUUCUAUCAGUUCUGUGAGCAAGUUAUUCACUAUCCUUCCAACAAAUGUCAUUUCUGCUCCCAUUAGUUGGAGUCUGUUUCUGUUUUUACAAUCAAGAUGACUGGUAUGUGUUGGGCAAUUCAUCAAGCCUUUCUGGGCCUUAGUUUCCCCCUUAGUAAAAAAGGGAGGAUAGCAAUGACUUCCAUGCACAAGGCCAUUUUUAUUAAACAAGUGUAUUAGUUCUCUAUUGCUGCGUAACAAAUUACCACACAUUUAGCAGCCUAAAGCAACACACGUUUACUGUUUCAUAGUUUCUGCCUAUCAGGAGACUGAGCAUAGCUCAGUGGGGUCCUCUACUUCAAGGUCUCACAAAGCUACAAGCAAGAUGUUAGCUGAGGCUUCAGUCUCAUCUAUGGUUGGAAUAAGGAAGGAUCCAAUUCCAAGCUCAUGUGGUCGUUGAUAGGAUUCAGUUCCAUAUGGGCUGGGCUGCUGGACUGAGGGCCUCAGGCACCUUUCCCUUAGGCCUCUGCCACAUGGCAGCAUGUCUUCAUCCAAGCCAGCAAGAAGAGAUUCCGCUAGCAAACAGAAGUCAAUGGUCUCUUAUAGCCUCAUUAUAGAAGUGCCGUCCAUCACCUUCUGAUGGAUCAGAAGUAAGUCUCUAGGCCAGCCCACAGUCAAGGGGAGGGGAUUACUCAAGGGCAUGAAUACCAAGACGUGGGGAUCAUUUGUGGCCAUCUCAGGUUUGCCUGUCACAAUGUGGUAGCUGUUAGUCAUCUUUCAAGGACUCCUCAAAAUGCCACUUCCUUCUUGAGGGCUUUUUAAAUUCUUCCCCCACCCAAACCCAUCAAAGUUAACCCCUCUUACAAAUGAUGAAACUUGAAAGUGUGCUGGAUAUUAGAUGGAAUUAUGUUUAAUUGUGUUAGGGAAGGGUAAUGUUAUUUUUUUAUUUUUUUAUUUUUUUUUGAGACGGAGUCUCGCACUGUCACCCAGCUGAAGUUCAGUGGCAGGAUCUCAGGUUCGCUGCAACCUCCAUCUCCCGGGUUCAAGUGAUUCUCCUGCCUCGGCCUCCUGAGUAGCUGGGAUUACAGGCGCGUGCCACCAAGACCGGCUAAUUUUUGUAUUUUUAGUAGAGACAGGGUUUCACCAUGUUGGUCAGGCUGUUCUUGAAUUCCUGACCGCAUGAUCCGCCCGCCUGGGCCUCCCAAAGUGCUGGGAUUACAGGCGUGAGCCACCGUGCCCGGCCGGGUAAUGUUAUUUUGACACUAAGAAAUUCCCCCUAAUUUUAACAUUUAUUUAUUUAUUUAAAUUGACAAAUAAAAAUUAUAUAUAUGUACGUAAAUUGUGUACAACAUGUUUUGAAAUAUGUAUACAUUGUGAAAUGGUUAAAUCAAGCUAAUUAACAUAUGCAUCACUUCACAUGCUUAUCUUUUUUUUUUGGUGGUGAGAACACCUAAAAUCUACUCUUUUAGCAAUUUCAAGUAUAAGAUGCAUUGCUAUUAACUCUAUUCACCACGUUGUGCAAUAGAUGUCUUGAACUUAUUCCUCUCAUCUAACAGAUUUUGUAUCCUUUGGCCAACUUCAUUUCGGCCCAAUCCUCCCACUCCCCAGCCUCCGGUAACUGCCAUUCUACUUUUUCUACAAGUUCAACUUUCUAAGAUUCCACGUAUAAAUGAGAUCAUGGCCAGGUGCAAUAGCUCAUGCCUGUAAUCCCAGCACUUUGGGAGGCUAAGGCGGGCGGAUCAUGAGGUCAGGAGUUCGAGACCAGCCUGGCCAACACAGUGAAACCCCGUCUCUACUAAAAAUACAAAAAUUAGCCGGGUGUGGUGGCAUGCACCUGUAGUACCAGCUGCUUGGGAGGCUGAGGCAGGAGAAUCAUUUGAACCCAGGAGGUGGAGGUUGCAGUGAGCCAAGACCACACCAUUGCACUCCAGCCUAGGUGACAGAGAGAUUCCGUCUCAAAAAAAAAAAGAGAUCACAUGGCAUUUGUCUUUCUGUGCUGGGCUCAUUUCACUUAGCAUAAUAUCCUCCAGGUUCAUCCAUAUUGCCAUAAAUUGCAAAAUUUCAUUCUUUUUUAUGGCUGAAUAUUAUUACAUAAUAUAUAUACUGUAUACUGCAUUUUCUUUAUCCAUUUUUCUGUUGAUGGACACUCAGGGUGAUUCCAUAUCUUGGCUAUUGUGUGUGUUGUUUUUUGUUUUUUUUGUUUUUUUUUUCUGAGACGGAGUCUCGCUCUGUCGCCCAGGCUGGAGUGCAGUGGCACAACCUUGGCUCACUGCAACCUCUGCCUCCUGGGUUCAAGCAAUUCUCCUGCCUCAGGCUCGUGAGUAGCUAGGCGCUCGCCACCACGCCAGGCUAAUUUUUGUAUUUUUAGUAGAGACGAGGUUUCACCAUAUUGGUCAAGCUGGUCUUGAACUCCUGGCCUUGUGAUCUGCCUGUCUUGGCCUCCCAAAGUGUUGGGAUUACAGGCAUGAGCCACUGCGCCUGGCCUUUUUUUUUUUUUUUUUUUUUUUUUUUUUUUUUUUUUAAUAAGGACAGAUCUUGCUUUGUUGCCCAGGCUGGAGGGCAGUGGCUAUUCACAGGCAUGAUCAUAGUGCCCUGCAGCUUCCAACUCCUGGACUCAAGCAAUCCUCCUGCCUCAGCUUUCCAGAGUAGCUGGGACUAUAGAUGUGAGCCACUGUGCCCAGUUACUAUAUCUUGGCUAUUGUGAAUAAAGCUGCAAUAAAUAUGGGAGUGCAGAUAUCUCUUCAACAUACUGGUUUUAUUUCUUCAGAUAUAUACCCAAUAGUGGGAUUGCCAGAUCAUAUGGUGGUUGAAAUAUGUUCUUUCUGAGUGAUACUACUGAAGUAUUUCUUGGUGGACUAUCAUGAUGCCCACACUUUUCUUUAAGAUAUUUUACUCAAAAAAGAAAAAAAAAAAAAAAAGGCCAGGCAUGGUGGCUCACACCUGUAAUCCCAGCACUUUGGGAGGCCAAGGUGGGUGGAUGGCUUGAGGGCAGGAGUUCAAGACCAGCCUGGCCAACAUGUCGAAACUCCGUCUCUACUAAAAAUACAAAAAUUAGCUGGGUGUGGUGGUACACACCUGUAACCCCAGCUACUCAGGAGGCUGAGGCACGAGAAUCGCUUGAACCCAGGAGACGGAAGAUGUAGUGAGCCGAGAUCACGCCACUGCACUCCAGACUGGGCAACAGCGCAAGACUCCACCUCAAAAGAAAAAAAAAAGAUAUUUUAGAGUAGUAAGGAGAGGGUCAUAGGGACAUCCUCCCUUUUACUCCCAGUCUCCUUGGCUAAAUAGUUGCCAUGGAAAAAGUAGAUUUUGCUCUUUCCAGAAGUGGUCCAGGAAGCCAGCUCUGUAUAUGUGUGUAAGAGGUGAGAGAGACUGAAAAGAUUAACAAUAUCAAACUUUCUCAUCUCACAAGCCUCAAAGGGCCUGUAUGUGAGUGCAGAUAACUGAAAUCGGUUAUCUCCCUGAUCCUUGCCGGCAUAUCACACAAAUGUUUGGGAGUAACACUGGGGACAAGGGUCGUCUCCCCCCCACCCCGCCCCCACACUGGAAGUUUUAUUUCUUUAGGAUUCUAUCCCAACCACUCGCUUAAAAAUCAAGUAACACAGACCUGAGGGGUAGGAGCUGGGGACUGCACCUCCCUGCUACUCAUGGAGGACAGCAGUGCGAACGAGGGAGGGGCAGGAGAGGCGGCUGAAGCAAGGCAGCAGCAGAGGUAACGGGGCCACGACCUCAGAGAACCAGCUCCGUCCUCUCCCAGACCCUGGCUGGAGCCCCUAUGGCUUGGGGUGGGGAGUGGGAGUACCCACCCCAGGCCCUCCCCUUCCUUCCUCAGACAGCCUCCUUGAGGGCUCAAGCCAUUUCUUCUGGCAGGAGACUGAGGCACACGGAGAGGAGGAAGUGGAAGAGGAGGAUGCAGGAGAGGCAGGGUGGUGGCUUGAAUGAAGGCAGAGGUGACAGGCGUGGGCAAGGCCACUCCAUCCCACCCACCCUGGAGAGGGGCAAGGAAGCCACACCAUCAGGCAGCAUGUCGGGUAUGGGGGAACAAGGCAGGGUUUAAGGCUGAGCAGCCCAGGGCAGGCAGGGCAGCCCAGGGCAGGCAGGACCUCGGGCCUCAGUCAAAGCCGUGCCAGUCGCUGUGCUCCGAGUAGUAUUCCAGCUUGGCACCCAUGCAUUUGACACCGUCCAGCAGCAUGCAUGUGCCUGUAAUCUGAGUCAAACAUCGCAGAACCUUUUCCAAGGAUCCUAACCCCCACCUCCAUCUCUUUUCAGCCCAGCUUCCCUGACUAACCUCUGAUGUUUACAAAGCUUGUAAACGUGUGGGGGUGGAGGAAGGACUUGAACUGACCCCUUGGGCUGUGCUGUGCUGUGCUGUGAUUCAGAGUCCUAAAGCUUUAGGAAUUUAGCGAGAGCAGUUCCUUGCUUCUAGUGAGGGAGAGAAGGUGGUAAAUUCUAGGCCAGCCCCCACAUUCCCCUGGCCACCCUAGAGAUCCUGCCAUCAAUACCCAUUCUCCAUGUGGGGCAGCCCUAGAGUUCCACUCAUGUUCCAGGCUCAUUGCUCACUGCAAUCCGUUCUGUGAGACUGGAAUCACCUAUCAUGUGCAUCAGCAGACCCAGAGGGGAAACUGGGAUCUAAGACUAAAAGAAACAUAUUAUCAAGCACCUACUAUGUGCUAGGCUGAGCCGGAUUCUGGGCAGCAAGAGCAUGAAGCCAAUCACCUCAGCCCUCUCACCUUCCCCUCCUUCCCAGGUACCAGGAGGAACCUCCAAAUGCACACAACAGUCAUACUAUCUGUCCCAGAGUGAGCAAGAGUUAGGUCUUGAACCCACAGCUGACUCCCCAGUCUGUCCAGAGGCCUGAUUUGGGAAGGAGGGUGCGAUCUUGCUGGGCAUUGUCGCAAGAAACCCUUCAGACAUAUUUAUAGCAAAUGCUGCAUCAGGGGAUGGAAUCUGAAAGUGCCUCGAAGCAUCAAAUAACACCAUGAGUCCAGAGGCAGAGCCCAGAAAAAGAAGGCACUGCAGCAGGAGGGAUUGAGGUUUGAUAUUGGAGGAACUUCCCCCAGAGUAAUAUCUGGAACUGGCAAUGGGGAUUCCCUGUGGAAGCUACUUCCACAGGAUUUUCUCAGAAGAGAAGGGAUAGGUACCUUUUUCUGGUCUAGGUAGAAAAGAUAAAAAGGGAUGGACAUGGUGAUCUCUAUCUUUGUAGUAUACAGACUUUCAAAUAUCAAGGCCACUAAGCACAGUUGUGCAGAUUAUGCCUUGCUGAGGAGGCAAACGGAGACUGAAAUCCAGCUCUAGAUCAGUUACCUCCUGCUGCAGAGCUGUGUCUGUACAGACUAGCCAGAGUGGCUUGUAGGGGCCCUGCCAGAUAUCCCAAGUCCUGACAAUCUUGGGGUCUGAGGACAAGGUGAGCAGGGAGAAGGGAUGAAGGCUGCCUGGGAAGCCCUGGGGGCCUGUUUGCUAGAGCUCAGAGCCUAUAUGGGCCAAGUUAGAGGGCAUAGCUUCCAGGAAUGGAUCCAGGGUAGAGGCCCCUCUCAGCAGGGUGCCCUGCCCAGAUACUAUGAGGUUUGAGCCAGAGAUGAAGGCCCUGAGGGAGCUUGAGUGGGGAGGAAGAGGAUAUGCGUCUUGGGCAGGCCCUGGAGAAGGAUAAUCCUGCCAGUCACGUCACAGAGAAGGGCCUGGGAGAGGGCAGUUCUGGGGACCUGGAGGAUGGGCUGCUGGCUCUAGCUCUGAAGUUCCUACCUUCUCUGCAGAGCAAGAUGGAGAAGGGGCCUGUGGUCCAGCAGCUGGGGUGGAAAUGAGAAAAGUAAGGGGUGGGGAACUGCCCCUGUGCACCUCAGAUUUCCUGUGAUAGGCUCAUGGAGGAGUAAUUUUUUUUUUUUGAGACAGAGACUCUGUCCCCCAGAGUCUGGAGCGCAGUAGGGCGAUCUCGGCCUGUCUCCUGAGUUCAAGCAAUUCUCUGCCUCAGCCUCCCAAGUAGCUGGGACCACAGGUGUGCACUGCCAUGCCCGGCUAAUUUUUAUAUUGUUUGCAGAGAUGGGAUUUCACCACGUUGGCCAAGCUGGUCUUGAA